rnacentral:lncRNA from 1 species
UGAUCGCCACCUGAUCUAGAAGAAUUCUGCCCAAUGUCCCGGGCAGAAUUGGGUGAGGAAGUUGCUUCUUGCAAUCCAAUGCGUCUCCCAUCAACUGGAGCAUGAGCCAAACUGAAAAGCGUGUUAUUGUAGGUUGUACCUUUUUCUUGUAUAACAUGAGAAUGGUAUUUGAAAUUUAUAGGCUGAUCAAGAGUAGGUGCAUGCUCAUUUGGAAACGUUGAAGUAGUAGAUCCUCCAAUAUCAAUAUGGUGGGAUGUUGCAUCUUUAAUAUCUGGUGGAUCUUUUAAUGAAGAAUUCAUCUUCCCUGCAGGAUUAUAUAUACGGUCUGCCAUAGGGUGGUGCAAACUGUGCGGAGGUUGUUGCUGCUGUGGAUAAGGAUGAAUAUAUGAAGAUGAGUUAGAAAGUCUACCUGGUGGCAAACUCUCACCA